GAACAUGAGAGUUUGAUCCUGGCUCAGGAUGAACGCUGGCGGCGUGCUUAACACAUGCAAGUCGAACGAAGCUGCUUAACAGAUUUCCUUCGGGAUUGAUGUUUUGUAGACUGAGUGGCGGACGGGUGAGUAACGCGUGGGUAACCUGCCCUGUACAGGGGGAUAACAAUCAGAAAUGACUGCUAAUACCGCAUAAGACCACAGCACCGCAUGGUGCAGGGGUAAAAACUCCGGUGGUACAGGAUGGACCCGCGUCUGAUUAGCUGGUUGGUGAGGUAACGGCUCACCAAGGCGACGA
rnacentral:rRNA from 1 species